CACUUCACAUCACAGUGAAUCAGAUGAGAAACAACAUGGGAAUUACAGCAAGAGCAUCUCUGAUAAUUUUCAGCUUGUUAUUCCUCAAACAGCUCAAGAAGCACAGAUUUCUAUGGGGUCUAAAAUCAUUGUUCCUUGUCACUUGUCUCCUGAAAUCUGUGCCAUUGCCAUGCAGAUCAAAUGGUUUAAGGAGACAGACUGUGUUUGCAUCUACAAGAACGGACAUGUGAUUGAGGGGAGAAACUACAAAGACAAAGUGAGUCUCGCCACUCACAUACUGGAGAGAGGAAAUGUGUCCUUACAUCUAAAUAAUUUCAGUGUCUCAGAUGUUGGUGAUUAAUAUUGUCAGGUCAUCAGUGGAGACAGAACACAGCAGAUUACAGUAGGAGUGAGGAUAAAACCUGAGGUCCAACAUGCGAGUCAGUCACCAACAUUCCAAGGCCGAAGUAUUCAGCUAAAGCUGUUUGAGAUAGACAAAAUAUGGACUAAACAGGAGACAGACAAAAUGAAUAAAUCUGCUCUAAUGGCUGAGGAGCUUCAGAAAAUGUUAAUUAAGGCUUGCAAAGAAAAAGACAGACAGCUGGAAAGAGCUGAACAGGAGUUGAGAGAGACCAGAAAGAUGUUGGACAGACUCUUAAGACUCAACCCUCAUGCUCAGUUUUUGGACAGCGACAAAUAAAAUCCCGUUUGAUAGCUAAGAA